CGCGGGAUAGAGUAAUUGGUAACUCGUCAUCAUAGAACGUUAAUGUUGUGGGUUCGAAUCCGACUCCCGCCA
rnacentral:tRNA from 1 species